AACUGUGUUUUUUUCUGUGGCAUCUUUUAUUUUACAAUGGGAGGUGUUUGUUAUUGAAUAUAUAUGAAUCAUGAAUGGCCAGUCAUUUGUUGCUUUUUCAAAGAUAUGUUUAUCAAUACCAUCCCCAUCCCUUAAUCAGGUAACUCUAAUGAUAUUUUUGUCAGUAUAAUAACCCCCUGGUUAUCAAGUAAAUUUCAUGUUGAGGAGAUGAGAGAAAAUUCGAUUGUAUUAAUGUAAUAAAAUUAUUGAUAUUAACUGACGUGCAAUCUUUGGCCUGUGGAUUGACCAAAGUAUCUCAUCUUGUGAUAAAACAUUAAUCGAUUAUGAUUCCUAAAUAGUUUAUGAAACUUUUCAAGUUAUUUGUUAAAUAAACAUCAUUUUCUUCCUCUUGCUGAGAGAGCUGUCCCAGUACACAUGCCUCCUUCCAUUACUUUUUGCUGAGUUGUCCAGGGCCAGCACACAUAUCUCCAUCAUUUUAUUACAUUAUGGACUUUCGCUGAGUUAUCUCAGCACACAUAUCUCAUUCAUUUUUCUCGCCAGGUUGUCUGAGCAAAUAACCUCUUUACACUUACUGAGUUCAAGCAUACCCCCAUUUCGUUUCUUAGCUACGUGUAGCUAUCCCAGCCUAGCUACGUGUAGCUAUCCCAGCCUAGCUACGUGUAGCUGUCCCAGCCUAGUUACGUGUAGCUGUCCCAGCCUAGCUACGUGUAGCUAUCCCAGCCUAGCUACGUGUAGCUAUCCCAGCCUAGCUACGUGUAGUUAUCCCAGCCCAGCUACGUGUAGCUAUCCCAGCCCAGCUACGUGUAGCUGUCCCAGCCCAGCUACGUGUAGCUGUCCCAGCCUAGCUACGUACCUCAUUUUGUUACUCUCGCAGAAUUGUCCCAGCACACAAAUUUCUUUUUAUUUCUCUUGCCAAGCUGUCCCUGUAUAAAAACCUCAUGAAGUGUUUCCUUUUCGCUAUCACUUACGGAAAGCCACAUACGAAAUCCUCUGUCAAUGGAACACUCAGCCUUGACACAAAUAUUUCAUGAAACUCCAAAUAUAUAAUAACUCCAUAAGAAUUUAAGUAUAAUGACCAUAUUAAGCUGUACACAAGUUAAAUCCAAUGGUAAUUUUCUGUCAGAAAUAGAAGUAGUGUAAAUCCUAAAUUUAUACUAUUAUGUAGUUAUUCUCUCCUAUCUCUUCAAAUACCAUGUAAACUGUAUAUUCACACAAACUGCCUUCUCAUUGGCUAACCUCUGCACUCUCUGAUUGGUUAUUCCUUGGUAAUUUCAGUGCCCGUAACUUCAAAUUACAGCAGUUACAUUGUAUGUUGUAACAAGGUUUAUACAUCAAAAACACAACAGCAUAUAAUACACUCACUUUUGUAAAUAAUCAUCAUGUAAUUCACUAAGUUAAACUUUGAAACAAAAGCCUGAGUGUACCUACACUGUUCAAACUAUUAAAAACAUACUAAAGCUACAUGUAGCUGUAACACCGUUUUUACAAAAGUGUUAAGUUGUCGCAGGAAAUGACAAACAGGUCAGAUAUUGGAAACAUUCCUCCCUAUUACUCUAUAAUUCAAAGGUCCUGUACAAGGGAAAUUAAUGUCUAAUAGCGGUGAACAAAGUUUAAUGUUCACAUUCUGAGUCAUUAUCUGAAAUGUUCCUGAAUAAACUCAGCAAAAUGUUUUUAAUGAGGUGUAUUUGGUGAAAGUUUGUAAUAAAUAAUGGUAAUGCCUGUUUACAAAACAUUAAAUGACACAAAUAAAUGUAUAAUUCUGAAUUAGGGGAAUUAAAAAACUAGUGUGUUUAUAUGAAUAAAAAAACGAUGUACAAGUGAAGACUUAAAAAUGAACAGGAAGUAUAAAAGUACAUGUGUAUUGUGUCAUUUAUAUUUUACAGAAACAAGUUAUAUAAUGUUUUUAAUGUGAAAUCUUUUAUGUAAUCGAAGAUUUUAGAAAAAUCUGUUUUUGCUUAGUGUUUGGAGAGAGAAAAUGAAUGCAGUUAAACUGUUUAAGAAGUGCUUUAUGUAUUUGACAAUAUGCAAUGUUUUGUUAGGUUAGAUUCUAAGCUUGUUUAAGAUUUAAGUACACUCUUGAUAACAGAAUGAGUUCUGUACUGUUGAGUGGUAGAGAAUACCUGUAUAGCUAUUCAAUGUUGACAUUUUUGUAACUCCUUGGUGUUAAUGUGAACAACUAAUUCAGAUAGGAUAUUUAAUGGUCAAUUUAUUGUUGAACAACUUAUACAUAUUGGUCAUAAAGCUGUGCAAGAAAAGAAUGUUUUUAUAUUUGUUUUUGAAAUAUUAACAAGAGAAAACUCCUUUAUUAAAAACAAGUUAUCUUAAUUUUUCCAAAUUCACUUCUCUUGUGAUAAUACCAUCUUGUCUAUAGCUGUACAGAGCAGGUCAUUGGAGGUGGUACUAUUGUAUAGCUGUACAGAACUGGUCAUUGGAGGUGGUACUAUUGUAUAGCUGUACAGAACUGGUCAUUAAAGAUGGUGCUAUUGUAUAGCUGUACAGAACUGGUCAUUGGAGGUGGUAUAUUUGUAUAGCUGUACAGAACUGGUCAUUGUAGAUGGUACUAUUGUAUAACUGUACAGAACUUGUCAUUGGAGGUGGUACUAUUGUAUAGCAGUACAGAACUGGUUAUUGGAGAUGGUACUAUUGUAUAGCUGUACAGAACAGGUCAUUGUAGAUGGUACUAUUGUAUAGCUGUACAGAACUCGUCAUUGUAGAUGGUGCUAUUGUAUAGCUGUACAGAACAGGUAAUUGGAGGUGGUACUUUUGUAUACAUGUAGUUGCACGAAUCUGUACAGUAGUGGUACUAACGGUUUACGGCUGCAUAAACUGUUUUUAUUGAGGUUAGCUUUUGUUGAUAUAUUUAAGCUUUCCAUGUAAAAAGUAUUUAUUUUUGACAUAUUUUAGCUUUCCAGGUGGAAGUAAUUUUUGAAAUGACAUUAGAUACUUUGUUUUAACUGAUUGAAAGUGAUGCAUAUGAGUUAGAUUCCAAUAUGCUAUUUUGAUAUGCAAUUUAAAGCCAAAAACUAUCUUGAGCUCAAAUGAAACUUGUCAGAACACUACCUAGAUUUUGCCUAGGGGUGGAGUAUGGUAAUGAUAGUUAUGUGUGUGUGGUUUAGUUUGAGUAUGAAGUUUUUGAUUACAAAGUGGAUGCCAUACUGUAUAAAAUAUAUGCAUGACUGUUGACUCCACAUAUAUGCAGCAUUUCAAAUCUUUUACUGACUAAGAAAUAGUCUUUGUGUUUUCAAAAAUGUAUAAUUUGUGCAAAGAGUAGUGUUAUGUGUAUUCGAUUGCAUUAUGGAUAAACAAAAAACUGAUUGAAACCUGACCGCGAUGUUAAAUUGGUGAUUGGUUAUAAGUACAGAAUAUCAAUGCAUGAUUUAUCUAUUUCAUUGCUCAUCUCCUACAAUUUGGCUAUCAGCUUAUACUAUGGUGUGGCAUCCGUCAUCCUUUCAUAAGCCAUUAAAAUUUCUUUUAACCAAGUUAGGUCAACGUUAAGGAUAUUUGGCAUGUAGCCUACAUGGGUUAGGACCGGUGAAGUUAGUUAUGAUAAUUGGCAUUAAUUUACUUUCAAGAUCACAGGAGUGUGCUAGCAUUUUUAGACACCAUCUAAUGAAGUACUAUACGAUGCUGUAGCACGAAUGAUAUUUGGUCUCUAUCUUUUCCAACAAAUUACCUCGACCCACGUUCAAGGUUAAAGGUCCAUUGUGUCAAAUAUUUCAAAUGACCUCUAAAAAUUCAGGAAAUCUGGAUCGAAACAGUUUGUCUUGUAAGCUUGAUCACGUAAAGGGCUCUCAUGGUAUGACGACUGAAGUCAGAAGAAGAGUUUUCCCGUAACUAUCAAUACAAAUGAAAGUUUCUAGUGGAUCAAACUUGUAUUGCACACCGGAGGAUGAUAUUCAGAAAAGGAGUAUUUUUCAAUAUAUACUUACAAUUACAGAAUAUGCAUAUACUACAUUUUCAAUGCAUGUAAUAUAUUUGUGAGUCAAGGUCAAUUAAUCAUUUUGAUAAAAGCUAUGAAUGUAAAUUCCCAGUAUUAAUACAAAGCCUGGAGCACCUUCAAGUUAGCAUUUCAUUGUGAUGUAUCGUAGUUAUAUU
rnacentral:lncRNA from 1 species